CUUUACUUCUCAUUUGACCUUUCCCUGUGACUUGAUUCAUAGGUUUGUUUUCCUCCUUCCCAAAUUUUUCUUAUUUUUUUCUGACCUAGCUUGGUUCCUGUCUUGGAUAAAGCUAUUUUUUUCUCACAUUUCAUUAAUUUCUAACCAUGGAUAUCCUGGGACUCCAUUCCCGUGUCCUCUUCAGGAACUGGUGACAGUAUAUGAUCAUUCCUUGGCCCUUAAAAACUGGAGAAGUAAAUGAAGAACCUUCUCCAGUCGUGGGAAACAUUGUCUACUUCAUCAGCUUCAAUGACAACAUGCUAUCCCCUUCCUCUGCUUCUAUCUUUGCAUACCCCCAGGCACAAUUGAUGUCCUUUGAUACUGUUUUUUCUAUUCUCUCACCUUUGGAAAGGAAAUCCUCUACAUUCUGAGGGAUUCACCAGCCCCUAUGCUGAGGACUUCCAAAUCAAGAUGUUUGGCUCCAACCUCCUUCUCAACUUCUAUUUAUAUAUCCCCAGUUGUUAGUAGAUAUCUGUCUUCAUAACUCUCACUUAUAGCAUGAAUAAAACAAAACUUUUUAUCUUUUCUUUUUCUUUUUUCCCAUUCCUUUUGAAUUUAUUUCCAACUACUUUUAUCCAUUAUUAGAAUCACUAUUGUCCCCACUGAUCUCUUAGGACCAGCUAUUUUGAACUUGGAUAGUUCAGUAUUUUUCAUAAAAGGACCAUACAAGUUCUUAUCUAAUAAGAUGUCUUUCUGUUUCUCUCUUCUGAGCUUCCAUGGACAAGGGAGUUCACAAUCAAGGAUGGAGUUUAUCUUGGACACUGAGAGAAAGAUGAAAUCCCACAAGCAGGGCCAUGGGCUAAGGAAGUUCUCAUUGGGAACAGUAUGGUCACUGCAUUGGAAGAAGAGCUAGGACUGAAAGGAUCAAGACUCCCUCUCCUCCCAUGUCCUAGGCUUUCCUGGUAUUCAGCUGUUGAUUUUGGAAAAAAGUGAAGUAACCAUGAAUAGCCAACUAUUUGCCUGCUGGAAAUAAAGUCACCAAACUCUACUGCAGUUCAGUGGCAAAGAUUGUUCAGACACGCUGGCAGUGAAC
rnacentral:lncRNA from 1 species